UACGUAGGUGGCAAGCGUUGUCCGGAAUUAUUGGGCGUAAAGGGCGCGUAGGCGGCCAGCACAAGUCAGUUGUGAAAUCUCCGAGCUUAACUCGGAAAGGUCAACUGAUACUGUGCGGCUAGAGUGCAGAAGGGGCAACUGGAAUUCUUGGUGUAGCGGUGAAAUGCGCAGAUAUCAGGAGGAACACCGGUGGCGAAGGCGGGUCUCUGGGCCGAUACUGACGCUGAGGAGCGAAAGCGUGGGGAGCGAACAGG
rnacentral:rRNA from 1 species